rnacentral:tRNA from 1 species
AGCUCUAUGGUGUAAUGGUUAGCACUCUGGACUUUGAAUCCAGUGUUUGAAUGCAGUUA